UACGAAGGGGGCUAGCGUUGCUCGGAAUUACUGGGCGUAAAGCGCACGUAGGCGGUCUUUUAAGUCGGUGGUGAAAUCCUGGAGCUCAACUCCAGAACUGCCUUCGAUACUGGAAGACUCGAGUCCGGGAGAGGUGAGUGGAACUGCGAGUGUAGAGGUGAAAUUCGUAGAUAUUCGCAAGAACACCAGUGGCGAAGGCGGCUCACUGGCCCGGUACUGACGCUGAGGUGCGAAAGCGUGGGGAGCAAACAGG
rnacentral:rRNA from 1 species